CAUUUUUUUAAAAUUACUUGCAAGAGGGCAUGUGGUCUAGUGGUAUGAUUCUCGCUUAGGGUGCGGGAGGUC